rnacentral:rRNA from 1 species
CCUACGGGUGGCAGCAGUGGGGAAUCUUGCGCAAUGGGCGAAAGCCUGACGCAGCGACGCCGCGUGGGUGACGAAGGCCUUCGGGUUGUAAAGCCCUGUGGGGAGGAACGAACCGUGCGGGGGCCAAUACCCCUCGCACCUGACGGUACCUCUUUAGCAAGCAUCGGCUAACUCUGUGCCAGCAGCCGCGGUAAGACAGAGGAUGCGAACGUUGCUCGGAAUUACUGGGCGUAAAGCGCGCGUAGGUGGUCUUGUAAGUCGUGUGUGAAAUCCCUCUGCUCAACGGAGGAAGUGCACGGGAUACUGCGAGACUGGAGUACAGAAGAGGACAGCGGAAUUCCCGGUGUAGAGGUGAAAUUCGUAGAUAUCGGGAGGAACACCAGUGGCGAAGGCGGCUGUCUGGGCUGAUACUGACACUGAGGCGCGAAAGCGUGGGAAGCAAACAGGAUUAGAUACCCUUGUAGUC